UUAUUUUUAUGCCAGCCAUGUGCUUGUUGAGGUUUGCGUUGUGACUUCUUCCCAGGUAACCUCCCCAACUAUCCAUCCACCCAACCAUUCCCGUCUGCUAAGGCUCAAAUAAUCCCUGUGCUUAAGUUGUCCCAUGCUGAGGAAGAGAAUGGGAGCCAGGAAGGAAACAUAUUGAAAGCAGAUGGAACUGAGUAUGAGUAUAUCUAUGCAGAGGAAGACUAUGAAGAGGGCCUGGUAGCAGAUGGGACUGAGAGCCCUAUGUUGAGGGAUGCUGACCCAUGCAUCUUGCAUCUGGAAGAGGGCGAGUGCAGCAAAUACACCCUAAGGUGGUACUAUAGCCAGAGAGUAUUGGAAUGUCGGCCCUUUAUCUACAGUGGCUGUGGAGGGAAUUCCAACCGCUUCAGCUCCAAGGAGGACUGUGAGCUUCACUGCAAGCCCCAGGCAGACACAGCAGGUAGUAGCACAGUGGAUAGAAACAAAGCUGUAUAAAAGUUGAAGCGAGUUUGGAGAACUGACGUACUGAAGAAAAGAAGAGUUGCAGCCUUUCAGGCUCCCUGCCAUUCUCAGCCUGCAUGAGGUCUUAGAGUGCUUGCUGCCAUUUUUACUGCCUGCAACACAGUUGCUCGUGGGUGCAUGUUCAUAUGAGUGUGUGUGUGCGCGCGUACAUCAUUCGUGUGUGGGCUGCUUCAGCUGGAGCAGAGAAAUGGUGCUAUUCUUUUUUUUAUAGUAGUUUUGUUGCUCUUGAUUUUUUUUUUAAAUUAAGGUUUUUUUUAAUCAAAUGGGAAAUAUAUGCAUACCGUCUUUUAUGUAUAAUAUAAAGAAAAGACAUAUUUUUAAUUAGAGUUCUUUAACUUAUUUGAUACUGGCUAACUAAUGACACAUGGAAUGUAUUAUGGCCAGACCAAAUUGAUUCUGCCUGCAACUUGCUUUAAUUCAGGGUUAUAGAUCUAUAUAUUAUUCCUCUGAGAGUAGAUUAAUAAGAAACCAACUAGACAGUAUCACCCAAGCUGAUCCUGAGAGGCUAAAAUGCACUUCCAUUCAUAAAGAUACAAAAGUCUUCUGAUUCACAGGCAAUGCUAGAGUUCUUUCCAUAAGUUUAUUUCAUUAUGAGCAGAGAUUAUUUCAAGAACUCCCCUUCCCUGUUUCUUCAUAGUUUAUUGUUAACAAAUAAAGUAUGGGGAAUACAGACUUUUUCUAAGCCUGAGAAUAACAUUGUCACAGAAUGGAAAAAUCUUCUCCCAAAGGAUUUCCUUUUCCCUGCCAUCAGUUUUCCAGUGCUCCUAGCGUACUAGUACCCCUUAAUCUUUCAACUUUUGAAUGUCAUUGCACUGGAUUCAUUUCUGAGUUGCUUUGUGCCCAGGCUCCAUGGAUUAAAACAUAGUGGUGGCAAGGCUGGCAAAAUUAAAAGUUGCAAAAAUUUAUAUAUUUUGUAAUAUGAAAAAUAAGUGAAAAAUUGGAUAUGAGUGUCAAGAAAAAUUCAUCGUCUAUUACCAAGAGCAGUAGAACUUCAACUGUGACUAAGAGUCAUUUCA